rnacentral:rRNA from 1 species
UGGGGAAUAUUGCACAAUGGGCGCAAGCCUGAUGCAGCCAUGCCGCGUGUAUGAAGAAGGCCUUCGGGUUGUAAAGUACUUUCAGUCGGGAGGAAGGUGGUAAGGUUAAUAACCUUGGCAAUUGACGUUACCGACAGAAGAAGCACCGGCUAACUCCGUGCCAGCAGCCGCGGUAAUACGGAGGGUGCAAGCGUUAAUCGGAAUUACUGGGCGUAAAGCGCACGCAGGCGGUUGAUUGAGUCAGAUGUGAAAUCCUCGGGCUUAACCCGGGAAUUGCAUCUGAUACUGGUCAGCUAGAGUCUUGUAGAGGGGGGUAGAAUUCCAUGUGUAGCGGUGAAAUGCGUAGAGAUGUGGAGGAAUACCGGUGGCGAAGGCGGCCCCCUGGACAAAGACUGACGCUCAGGUGCGAAAGCGUGGGGAGCAAACAGG